GGUCAGGUAGCCUAGCGGUUAAGGCAGCCCAUGCGCGUUGGGUCCCGGAUCCAUUGGACCUGGUUGCUGGUUCAAAUCCAGCCCCGAUCA
rnacentral:tRNA from 1 species